rnacentral:rRNA from 1 species
AUUGAACGCUGGCGGCAGGCCUAACACAUGCAAGUCGAGCGGAUGAAGGGAGCUUGCUCCUGGAUUCAGCGGCGGACGGGUGAGUAAUGCUAGGAAUCUGCCUGGUAGUGGGGGAUAACGUCCGGAAACGGGCGCUAAUACCGCAUACGUCCUGAGGGAGAAAGUGGGGGAUCUUCGGACCUCACGCUAUCAGAUGAGCCUAGGUCGGAUUAGCUAGUUGGUGGGGUAAAGGCCUACCAAGGCGACGAUCCGUAACUGGUCUGAGAGGAUGAUCAGUCACACUGGAACUGAGACACGGUCCAGACUCCUACGGGAGGCAGCAGUGGGGAAUAUUGGACAAUGGGCGAAAGCCUGAUCCAGCCAUGCCGCGUGUGUGAAGAAGGUCUUCGGAUUGUAAAGCACUUUAAGUUGGGAGGAAGGGCAGUAAGUUAAUACCUUGCUGUUUUGACGUUACCAACAGAAUAAGCACCGGCUAACUUCGUG